ACUCAGGCACGAUCCUCGGCCACCGCGCGGGGAACCGACCUGAAGUUCAAUCCUGAGGGA
rnacentral:ncRNA from 1 species